UGAUGUAGAAUUAUUAAAAUCUUUAUUAGAACCUGUAUUGAAUUAUUGUACUAACUCCAUUUUGUUCACCUUACAUGACAGAAUUUCCUGACAGUAUUCAGUAUAAUGAAUAAGAGAUUGUAUUCUCUCUCUAAGGACAUAACUAGCCCCGGAGUUAGCGGAUCUCCGUUGACUUGCAACAUAGUAUAAUCCAAGGCCAGGAGAACAGUGACAAAAUGAAAUGUUCUAUUCAUAAAAGAACCUUGGAACAGACCACGAGACUGACAUCACUAACUACGUAAAAUGACGCCCAAGCCCCCCUUUCCACC